UAAGAGAGGAAACAUUGUCCUCCCGCUGGACUCUUCCGUCACCUGCCGGAUAGAGGGGCUCCAUGGAAUGGAACAGGCUUAGGAUUUCGCUCCUGGAGGUCGAGAUUUCCAAUGGCGGAGCACCAGCAAGCCCAGUCGGAGUCGCCAGCACGAUCUCCUUGUCGCUUUCUCAGCCGCAGCAGCAGCAGCAGAGGCAGCGGGAGGAGACGAUGGCCUGCGUUGCGGCGCUGUUGCCCUGCUUCCCUGCCCGCAAGCUCCAAGCCAUCGACCGCUCCAUCCACUCCUCCCACCAGAGGGCGUUGAUUGACGAAUGACUUUAUCUUAAUCAGAGGAGAGUUUAUCUGGACGCUAAAGGUUGCGAUCGAACUUAUAUUUGACCUCCGGUGCAUGGGUCAUGGGCUCUGUUUUGGAUGCUGGGAACUUGAAAAUAAUGAAAAUGGAAGACACAGUUGAUGUCAAGGCAAGCAAGAGAUUUUAUGGAGUCUGCGAAGAGUCUUCAAUUGCCGUUCAUCGGGCUACAACGUGAAGAUCAACCCACCAAGGAAGAAAAGCUUCGAAAGGAGAUCUUCAUCAUGAAGAGUUGAAAACCAAGUCUGAGCCGAUUAAGAAGCAUGAGAAACUCAUUCAAGGGUGUAGGAAAGAUUUGGAAGGACCACCUGGAGAAGCAUGUCAUGGAGUUGGAGAGGGUGUAAAUUUUCCUGUUAUUGUUUGCUUCAGUUUAGCAAUUUAAUUGUCACUUCAACCAAAAGGGGUCCCAUGUACCAAGGAUAGAGAAAAUAUCAGGUUUAGAAGGAAUUCCUAAGUUUAUGGAAGCAAGGCAUAUUGUUUUCA